rnacentral:rRNA from 1 species
AACGAACGCUGGCGGCAUGCCUAACACAUGCAAGUCGAACGAGACCUUCGGGUCUAGUGGCGCACGGGUGCGUAACGCGUGGGAACCUGCCCUUAGGCUCGGAAUAACUCCCCGAAAGGGGUGCUAAUGCCGGAUAAUGUCUUCGGACCAAAGAUUUAUCGCCUUUGGAUGGGCCCGCGUUGGAUUAGCUAGUUGGUAGGGUAAAAGCCUACCAAGGCGACGAUCCAUAGCUGGUCUGAGAGGAUGAUCAGCCACACUGGGACUGAGACACGGCCCAGACUCCUACGGGAGGCAGCAGUGGGGAAUAUUGGACAAUGGGCGAAAGCCUGAUCCAGCAAUGCCGCGUGAGUGAUGAAGGCCUUAGGGUUGUAAAGCUCUUUUACCCGGGAUGAUAAUGACAGUACCGGGAGAAUAAGCUCCGGCUAACUCCGUG